rnacentral:lncRNA from 1 species
CCUCUCCGAGAAAACCCUAGAGACACCGCCACCAAAUCCCACCGCCUUAGGGUGGCAGAGCCACCCCCAAAUCCAGCCAAAUUAACACCAGAUGCUCUCCUCAUUCUCCUCUUUACAACCAUACACACCGUUUCCUUCGAAUCGUUCCAGAGCUGUUCGAAUCAUGGAUCGAAAUUCCGGUCCAGAUACAAAUCCAUCUAAAAAUCCCCAAAUCCAUACCCUGUACUCCCCACCCCUUUAUCACCACUAAUCCAUACCCAAAAACCCUCGAAUUUCACUGAAGCUCAAUGAAUUUCAAAUCUAGGGUUCCUAACGGCUCGAGUCUGUUUUAAGAGUCUUAGAGGUCGGCUGGUUUCUCGUUA